rnacentral:rRNA from 1 species
CCUACGGGUGGCAGCAGUGGGGAAUAUUGGACAAUGGGGGGAACCCUGAUCCAGCGACGCCGCGUGAGUGAAGAAGUAUUUCUGUAUUUAAAGCUCUAUCAGCAGGGAAGAAAGAAAUGACGGUACCUGACUAAGAAGCCCCGGCUAACUACGUGCCAGCAGCCGCGGUAAUACGUAGGGGGCAAGCGUUAUCCGGAUUGACUGGGUGUAAAGGGAGCGUAGACGGUUACGCAAGCCAGGAGUGAAAGCCCGGGGCCCAACCCCGGGACUGCUCUUGGAACUGCGCGGCUGGAGUGCAGGAGGGGCAGGCGGAAUGCCUGGUGUAGCGGUGAAAUGCGUAGAUAUCAGGAGGAACACCGGUGGCGAAGGCGGCCUGCUGGACUGCGACUGACGUUGAGGCCCGAAAGCGUGGGGAGCAAACAGGAUUAGAUACCCCUGUAGUC